ACGAACGCUGGCGGCGUGCUUAACACAUGCAAGUCGAACGGUGACCCGGAGCUUGCUCCGGUGAUCAGUGGCGAACGGGUGAGUAACACGUGGGCAACCUGCCCCAGACUCUGGGAUAACUGCCGGAAACGGCAGCUAAUACCGGAUACGACCACUUCGGACAUCCGAUGGUGGUGGAAAGUUUUUCGGUCUGGGAUGGGCCCGCGGCCUAUCAGCUAGUUGGUGAGGUAAUGGCCCACCAAGGCGACGAUGGGUAGCCGGCCUGAGAGGGCGACCGGCCACACUGGAACUGAGACACGGUCCAGACUCCUACGGGAGGCAGCAGUGGGGAAUAUUGCGCAAUGGGCGAAAGCCUGACGCAGCGACGCCGCGUGAGGGAUGACGGCCUUCGGGUUGUAAACCUCUUUCAGCAGGGACGAAGCGAAAGUGACUGUACCUGCAGAAGAAGCACCGGCUAACUACGU
rnacentral:rRNA from 1 species